UACGAAGGGGGCUAGCGUUGCUCGGAAUCACUGGGCGUAAAGGGCGCGUAGGCGGCCAUUCAAGUCAGGGGUGAAAGCCUGUGGCUCAACCACAGAAUUGCCUUUGAUACUGUUUGGCUAGAGACCGGAAGAGGUAAGUGGAACUGCGAGUGUAGAGGUGAAAUUCGUAGAUAUUCGCAAGAACACCAGUGGCGAAGGCGGCGACCUGGGCCAAUACUGACGCUGAGGUGCGAAAGCGUGGGGAGCAAACAGG
rnacentral:rRNA from 1 species